CCGCUUUGUCUCGUUCCCCCCAGCAGUAAAGAUGUCUAGCGCGUAAAAUAGAGCUCUGUGUAAAUUGAAUUAUAUAUUUAGUUGAGGUCAAGGUACAAAGGAUAUGCUCCGUUUGAUACAAUUCCAAAUAUUUUAAUAUCUACACACGCCAUGGUGUGGCAUUUGCAAGUUCAAGAUUAAAAAGUCUGGGACGCCUAUAGUUUUACGUUAUCGUUAUCUUUCAUUAUUAUAAUCAAGUUUGAGCAAUUUUGUACAUUUUCGAUAAGUAGCAUAUAGAGACAAUAGAUAGGAUAAUGCGUUUUGUUACACCUAUGGUCAUAAGGAGGUAAUGUCAGCUGGAAAAUUCGAUAUGUAAAGUGUAAACUUUGUUACAAUAAACAUAGCUGAUGGA